rnacentral:misc_RNA from 1 species
UUUCCCCUUUAAUCCAAUCAUCCUGGCGGCUACUAUAUUUUUUCUCCUUUUUUGACUAAAUUAUUUGUCCCAAUUCGAUUCCUAAUCCAUUUUUUUCUCUCAAGAUCAUAUUUUUUGGAUACCCUUUUGCUUAUUGAAUCAUUUUGUGGUUGAAUUUUUUUUAUUAGUGAAGAGAUGAAGAUGUUUGAGUUAUCUGAUUCGGAUUCGUUUGCUGUUUUUGCAUCAUCAAAGAAUGUUUUUCCACCGGGAUUUAGGUUUCAUCCGACUGAUGAAGAACUUGUUCUGUACUAUUUGAAGAAGAAGAUCUGCGGGAAGAGGAUUCUGCUUGAUGCCAUUGCUGAGACUGAUGUUUACAAAUGGGAACCGGAGGACUUGCCUGAUCUAUCUAAGUUAAAAACUGGGGACCGCCAGUGGUUCUUCUUUAGCCCCAGAGAUCGAAAGUAUCCUAAUGGAGCACGGGCAAACAGGGGAACAAAGCGUGGGCACUGGAAAGUUACAGGAAAGGAUCGAAUCAUUAUGUGCAACUCUCGUGCUGUUGGACUUAAGAAGACCCUAGUCUUUUAUAAAGGCCGAGCACCGGUAGGUGAACGGACAGACUGGGUGAUGCAUGAGUAUACUAUGGAUGAAGAAGAGCUGAAAAAAUGUCAAAACGCCCAGGACUACUAUGCGCUUUACAAGGUAUUUAAGAAGAGUGGCUCCGGGCCUAAGAAUGGUGAGCAGUAUGGUGCACCUUUUAGAGAAGAGGAGUGGGCUGAUGAUGAAUGUCCUAGUGCCAAAGGCUUUGUCCAUCAGGAUAAUUCCACUAACCACGUUAUUGAAGCUCCUUCUGUGGAUGGUGGACUUGAGGAGUUGUUGAACCCCGUGCUUAUGGAGCCACUUUCUGUAGAUUAUGAUUAUGCAGUGGAGCAGCUUGUACAGGAGGAAGAUACUCGAAGUACCUUGCUAUAUCAUUCCGCAAAGGAAGUCAAUUUUCCCCACCGCAGUGCGGUGAUUGCCCCAGCAAAGGAAAGCUUUGACUUGACACAGUCAGGCACAUCACAGCGACAGUUGCAUGAGGCACUAGAAGUCACAUCUGCUCCUGUUAUUUAUGAACAGCAGCCACAUGUGGUGGAAGAGGAUUUUCUGGAGAUGGAUGACCUUCUUGGCCCAGAGCCAAGCACUCAGAACUUUGAUAACUUGGGGCCGUGUGUUCAAAACUUUGAUGAGGCAGGCCAAAGUGGUCAAAACUUUGAUAUGCCUGCUGGAAACUUCGAAGAUUUGCCAUUCGAUUAUUUUGAUGGGUUGGCAGAGUUUGACCUGUACCAUGAUGCAUCCUUGCUUGAUGAUGUAAGAACAACUGAAGUGGGGCAAAAUACUGAACCACACAUGAACAACUUAGUGAAUGGUUCUGUUAACCCUGCUUCUACAACGUAUAUAAACACUUUCCAGCAUGAAAUGAUGAACAACCAGCCAAUGUAUUUGAAUAAUUCCGAACAGAUUAGCAAUCAACUGUGGGUACACGAUCAAAGGUUCAAUAUCUCUUACCCCAGCGAGGCAAAUCAGUUGGUUGCUCCUCCAGCUACUUCAGGUGUUGUAUAUGAUAGUAUUUUGGCAAAUCAUCCUAUGGACGCAAAUCAAAAUCAACUACCCAAUCAAGAUGAAGGUACACCAUCAUGGUUAACCUCUCAGUUGUGGGCCUUCGUGGAUUCUAUACCUACUGCUCCUGCUAUAGCUGCUGAAAGUCCUGUGGUUAAUAGUGCCUUUAAGCGCAUGUCUAGCUUUAGUAAGAUGAGAAUAAACGCCAGGAACAUGAAUGUUGCGGCAGCAGGUAACACAGCAACUUCAAGAAGUUCGCGCUACUCUAAGAAUGGGCUUUUUUAUUUUUCUUUUGUUGGAAUACUGUGUGCAAUCUUAUGUGUAUUACUAGGAACAUUUGUCGACAUCUUGAGGAGACCCAUAUCCUCUUAAAUAUGCAAAGAAAAGUUGAUGUUCUAUCAUUUGGCAUCUUGCCAGAAUCAAUGAGAAGCAG